UUCUUCCUUGAUGAGUCAUCCUGGUUGUCAACAUGAUGCACACAGUUCCUCCAUCAGCCCGGCCUGCAGACACGCCUGUGGGCAUGUUCUCUGGAGGUUGAUGUAGGAGGAACCAGCACUGUAGACAGGACCCUCUGGGCAGGCUCAAGAGCAGAUGGGGAGAGAACCACUUUUAAUGAAGAUCACGCAGCGAGAGAAGACGAUCUCCUUGUCCCAGCAGAGGCAGGCAACCUCCUGUAAAAUGCUACACAGCAAACAUUUUGACUUGGCAGGCAAUACUGUCGUGACGACUUAAGUCUCCCACUACAGUGCAAAAGCAACUACAGACAGCGAGAAAGCAAGCCUGUGACUGUGCCACUUUACAUGAUGGACAUGAACAAGAGUCUACCUUUCAGAGCUGUAAGACUUCCCCCAACUACUUAAAAAUAAUACAAUAACCAUUUUUAGUAUGCAGACCAGACUAAAACAGAAAACAAGCCAAAUUUAGCCCAGGGGCCACCAUUUGCCAAUCCUUAUUCUUGAUAACAAUGAAGCAAAUGAACAAUGAAACAAACUUCAUUCUCCUAAGCAUCCCUUAUUGCUGUGGAGCACACGUUCCAUGCACAGCCGCUUGCUUGCACAAGACAGAGGCGCUCCUCUCUUCUGUAAGGGUAGCACUCUGGAGUCCACGACUAUGAAGCAUGGCAUGUAAUUAUAUCCAUGUACCAAACACACAAAGUUAUACUUUGAUAUGGGAAGACCUGAGCUCCUUCACAUCUUCUCGUCGUUGCCACCAAGAAAGAGCAGCAGGCUAGAUGCAGAGUGUUUCCCUGAACCAGGAGUGGCCAGCACAAUUCCACCUCCCCACAGGCUCCAAAGUACAUCCUGUGUGACACAGGAGUAAAGGCACCUCUCACUUUCCAACAGAGAAGUAGUGUAACCCACGUAAAGAACAAUGGUUCACAGGGUCUCCAUGGUGACUUUCUAGAUGCUCUGUUAGAGCCAGUUUUAAACCCGAGUGUCUCCUUGGCUAGCUGUUCCUCUGCAGAUAGUCUGCCUCUGACUGCCGUUAAGUCUAAUGUCAGACACUCACUGUGCUUGAUGACACUGACUUCUAGAAUGGGAACUGGAGAAGUCUAGUGCUUUUCUGUUUCAACCUACAGCUGUCAACAUUCUCCUUUGUCAGAGUGCCCCUAAAUUCCAGCCACACUCUGCUUCCACCCAUUGUCCCAGGUUCAGGAAAACUAAUGGCAGUUCACACAGCUGUGAGGGCAAAUAUUAAGGAACUCACAUUAUAGUCGGAGAAACAUAUGUGAACGAAGCAAGUAAAUGAAAAUAUACAGAACAGAGAAGCACUCAGUAGAAGCAAAUCUUACCAAGGACUUAAGCUGGCAAGUGUUGCAGGCUGUGUAGGAGGGCAGGUUUCCCAGUUCAGCAGAGGUCAUAAGAGAAAGGCUCUCUGCAGAUCAGAGGGUGAAAGAUGUGCUGUUCGUGAGGAAAUCACAUGAGUUACCUGGGAAGACUGGCAGGUUGCUGGGGAAACUCCAGACUAUCCUCACAGCUUUUCUCUAAAUCUAAAACUACUUUGACAACCAAGAAAUCCACACAGAUGGAGCAAAAACAAAGUCGUGGACUUGGUUGGCAGUCUAGCGGAUGAAGAUAAAUGGGGCUGCAGCUCCAGGAUCCAUGAGAAUAAAAAAGAAUCAGAUGAGCCUAGUGGACUUCAAUCUCCUAAGCAUCCAGAAAGUCUGCCAUGUUAAAAAAAAAACCUGCAAUUUUCUAAGGUGAGCAACCGAAGGUUCAGGAAAAGAACACAGGAAACCCAGUCUUUAUCUUAGAGGGGAGAAAUCAAACAGUCUGGGUAAGCAGUGAAAGAAGAUGGAUGGAACCCAAAGGUCCGAAUGACCACAAGGAACCCAGCAGCUUGCUCUAGACCCCUAUAUGAAAGAAAAAUAAACUUCCUGAACCCUUAA